CAUCAGAUCCUCUAACUUUUACUUACACGGGGCGGGAAAUCCCCAAAACCCUCCCUCCAAAUUUCAUGCUUUAUCUCUUUAUUUCUCUUAAAACCCUAAUAAUCUCCCCAUUUCCCCCCAAUUCCCCAAAUUCCAUUCAUCCAUAGACGAACAGACGACGAACAACGUAAAACCCGAAAGGAAUUCCGAUAUCUUCACCGGAAUUUCCUUUCUUUCUCUGAUAAAUUCUUCAAUUUCUAUGGCAUUUCCGUCCACCGCCUUAAUUAGGUUCGAUAACAACGAGGCAGGCAAAGAGGAAGGGAAAGAAUUAGAGACAGAAAACGAGCCUGUGGAAUUAUUGAAUUUGGGCGAUCACGAGCCGCUGCAGGGUAGAAAGGGCUCGGAAAUUGAAAUCGCCGGGGCCGAGGAAGAAGAGGAUGGGGGGAAUACUCCGCUGCGGUAUGUUCCAUUGUGCGAUGUGUACUCUGCCACUUCUCCGUGCGUAAGUUCAGCUAGUGGGGGGUCGAAGAAAGUGAAACCCCCGCGGAAAUCAAUGAGUCAUUUCAACGGACAUGAUCCUGCGGCUAAACCACCUCAUCAGAUUUUGUCGUCGAUGGAAGGAGUGAGGGGUGGUGAUGGUAGUGAUAACAGUAGGGUUAAUGUGGCUGGUGAUGGAAAGGGGAAGCCGCCAAUAACUAAGGUUUAUACGCGACGAAAUAAGGGCAAGCGAAAGGAAAGAGAAGACGGGUGGCAGAAUUCGCGAUCAAGGGGUGUAAAUUUGGGAAAUUCAAAGGAAAAGGGAGAAGAAAAUGAGGGGAUUGAGGUGGAGAAUGGUGAAUUGAUUGCAAAGAAGGGGAAAAGGAGGAAAGUUGGUGGGUAUGAGCUGGCAAAUUUGGGGUUGGAUUCGAUUGCAUUAAGUACUUUAGAUAGGUUGCAACUUAGAGAAUCUAGACAUGGUAAUGAUGUUAAUAGUGGUAAUAGGAGUAGGAAUCCUAGUGUUCAGGUUAGUCCUAAUAAAAUUAGGAAGCGGAAGCCUAAGGGUGAGAUGGGGGACGAGAUUAGGGAUUUUGGAGCUCUUCGAACAAAGAGAUGGGUUUGGUUGAGUUUUGAUGGAACAGACCCAUAUAAAUUUGUUGGUUUAUUAUGCAAGGUGUUUUGGCCCUUGGAUGCUGAUUGGUACAAGGGUCGUGUUGUUGCAUAUGACUUGGAGAUGGGGCGACACAGUGUUGAGUAUGAGGAUGGUGAUGAAGAGAAAUUGAUUUUAUCAAAUGAAAGAAUCAAAUUUCACAUUUCUCCUGAGGAGAUGCAACGUCUAAAGUUGAGGGCCAGCGAUAAGUGCCUGGAGGGUGAUGCAAUUGAUGUCAAUGAGAUGGUGGUGUUGGCUGCUAGUUUGGAUGACUGUGAAGAGCUGGAGCCAGCAGAUAUAAUUUGGGCCAAGCUUACUGGUCAUGCCAUGUGGCCUGCGUUAGUUUUGGACGGCUCUCUUUUUGGUGAGCAUAAGGGCCUGAACAGAAAUUCAGGAGAAAAAUCAGUACUUGUUCAGUUUUUCGGCACUCAUGAUUUUGCAAGGGUUAAGAGAAAACAAGUUAUGUCAUUUCUUAGAGGGCUUCUUUCUUCUUUCCACCUAAAGUGCAAGAAACCAAAUUUUGUACGGAGCUUGGAGGAAGCUAAAAUGUAUCUUAGCGCACAAAAGCUUCCAAAGAGAAUGGUACGGCUGAGGAAUGGCUUUGAGGCUAAUGCUUACAAUGUUGAAAGUGGGGAGGAUGAAGGCAGUGAUGAUUCAGGUAAGGAGGGCAAGGCGGAUGAAGACAUACAGAGAAGAAUUGAAGCAGUCAAAAGCUUUCCGUUUGAAGUUGGGGACCUGCAAAUAAUAACUCUUGGAAAGGUUGUCAGAGACUGGGAAAAUAUUCAGGAUGAGAGAUACAUCUGGCCGGAAGGAUAUACUGCUUUGAGGAGGUUUCCUUCUAUAACAGAGCCAAAUGUUCAUACAACAUAUAAGAUGGAAGUACUCAGAGAUGAUGGAUUAAGGAAUCGACCCCUUUUCAGAGUUACAUCGGAGAAUGGAGAGCAGUUUAGUGGAACCACUCCAUCUGCCUGUUGGAACAAAAUUUACAGAAGAAUGAGGAAAAUUCAGUCAGAAGGUUUACAACCAAGUGUAUCUGAGAAGUUUUGCGAAUCUGGUGCAGACAUGUUUGGUUUUUCCCAUCCUGAAAUUUCAAAACUGAUACAGGAGCUAUCAACUUCGUCUUCCAGGAUGCCCUCAAAAGCCUCCAAGAUCGCACGUGCAAGAUAUCAAGACUUUCCUGUUGGUUACAGACCCGUUGAUGUGAAGUGGAAGGACCUUGAUAAGUGCAAUGUCUGCCAUAUGGAUGAGGAAUAUGAGAACAAUCUGUUCUUGCAGUGUGACAAAUGCCGAAUUAUGGUUCAUGCUAGGUGCUACGGAGAAUUAGAGCCUCUGGAUGGUGUUCUUUGGUUAUGCAACUUGUGUCGUCCAGGGGCUCCUGAACAACCUCCUCCUUGCUGUCUAUGUCCUGUUACAGGAGGUGCCAUGAAGCCUACAACAGAUGGCCGGUGGGCUCAUCUGGCUUGUGCCAUCUGGAUACCAGAAACUUGCUUAUCUGACAUCACAAAAAUGGAACCCAUUGAUGGGCUGAGUAGAAUCAACAAGGACCGCUGGAAACUUUUAUGUAGCAUAUGUGGUGUUUCUUAUGGAGCUUGUAUACAGUGCUCAAAUCAUAAUUGCCGUGUAGCGUAUCAUCCUCUUUGUGCACGUGCUGCAGGAUUUUGCCUAGAGCUUGAGGAUGAGGACAGACUAAAUUUGGCCCCUCCAGAUGAAGAGGACGACGAUCAAUGCAUACGUCUGUUAUCCUUCUGCAAGAGGCAUAGCCCCCUAUCUAGUGAGCGCUUAGCUACAGAAGAUCGAACUGCACAAAAACCCUUUAAGUUCUCGGAUUACACUCCCCCAUUGAAUACUUCUGGUUGUGCUCGUACAGAGCCUUAUAAUUAUUUUGGAAGAAGAGGACGGAAAGAACCUGAAGCUCUUGCUGCUGCAUCCUUGAAACGCUUAUAUGUGGAGAACAGGCCACAUUUAGUUGGUGGAUUCAGCCAACAUACAUCCUUUGGGAAUGAUGUUUCCUCCAGUUCAGCUGCUGGUUCUCGAUUUUCACUUGACCUGUUAAACUUGAAAUCAUCUCAGCUUGAUGCAUCUGGGAGCAUCCUCUCAAUGGCUGAAAAGUACACAUACAUGAGGGAAACCUUUCGAAAGCGGCUUGUGUUUGGAAAAUCUAGAAUACAUGGGUUUGGCAUCUUUGCAAAACAACCCUAUAGAGCUGGGGACAUGGUGAUUGAAUAUAUUGGUGAACUUGUUAGACCUUCGAUAGCUGAUCGAAGAGAACAUCUAAUCUACAAUUCAUUGGUGGGUGCUGGAACCUACAUGUUUAGAAUUGAUGAUGAACGUGUUAUUGAUGCCACAAGAGCAGGGAGCAUUGCACAUUUGAUUAAUCAUUCAUGUGAACCGAAUUGCUAUUCAAGAGUGAUAAGCGUAAAUGGUGAUGAGCACAUAAUCAUCUUCGCCAAAAGAGAUAUUAAACAAUGGGAAGAAUUGACUUAUGAUUACAGAUUCUUUGCUAAAGAUGAACAACUUGCUUGUUAUUGUGGCUUCCCAAGAUGCCGUGGUGUAGUAAAUGAUACUGAAGCCGAGGAACGAGCAUCGAAACUGUAUGCGCCUCGUGGUGAAUUAGUUGACUGGAAAGGAGAAUGAGAGUAGGGGAAAAUGCUUUAAGACAACUUCCAUUGCUAAAGUAAAAGCAUAAUCAGUUGAUGUUGUAUGCAGACAUAAGCAGUUGUCUUACUGAUAUGAAGGUUUGUUCCACUGCUGCCCCUUCAUCCAUACAAAAAACCCAUUAGGCGCUGGUAUUGUACUGACAAACGAAUCCUGGGUCCCACAUCAUUCAAACCUUUCAGUUGGCUGUAAGAUUCAUGUGACAAGAGCAGUUUUAUCCAUGAUGUUAUGCCGUGUGAGAUCCCCCGGAAGACCUUUAUUCUCUCUGGUGGAAGUUCACCUUUCUGCCUAUCUUUUUUUUUCAGGCAGAUAUCAUUGUAUUUUUUCAAUUUCUGUAAUCUCUUUAGAUUCUUUUUAAGAUAGGGCUCAAAGAAUUUUUAUUGAGAUCAUCCCUCUGAAUGAAUUGCACCUUGUGUCCUCAUUGCACAGGGUCUUCAGGGAUGUUGUACACUAAUAUACCUGUAAUUAUUGUCUUGUAUAGAAAUAUUCACCUUUCCCUUUUGUCUUUGUUCGUUGUUAUAGCAGCCAUAGUGCUUACUUUUGUCAGAUAAGCUUUAGUAAGCCUCUAACGUGCUUUAAAUGGAAAGCUGUUACCACAACUGAAAUAUUUACCCAG